GCACGUCUCAGCGCACAUCUGAGUCCGGCCAAGUCAGACACCCGCUGUGUCUCCACGCUAAGGGUGAGACCUGAUACCCGGGGAAGAUGUCGUUUUCAGAGGCUGCUUUACAGUUCACGGCUCUUGCUGCUGCUACUGCUGCUGGUGCUAUUGGUGUUGGUGGUGUUGCCGCUGGUGCUGCUAUUGCUGGUGGUGCUGCUGUGGGGAUAGCCGCGUCCUAUGGCAUUAUGAGAGUAUUUGAAGCCUUAGCGCAACAUGACAGGGAGCGCAGGAAUCAACAUGAUAAGUCCUCCUAGAAGCCAAGAGCGACUGUGAUGACCUGAUGAACCAAAGGUCCACCCAGAGGCCAAGAGCCAAGGGACCUGCGAUCUGCUGAUUCGCGGCAGGGAAAAGCGAGUCACCAAAUCUCGAGGCGCCGGGAGGGGACGCGGCCUGCAGCUCCCCCGCUGCCCGUGUGGGGGUGACCAGACUCAACCUUUGGGCCAAAGAACAAAAUAAAGAACAGAGUGA